rnacentral:lncRNA from 1 species
UUUUUUAUCCAUUUCAGAAUAAUGCUGUAACAUAACAAAAUGUGGACUAAGUCACUGUACCACACUCACCCAUUGUGAUGCGUAAAAAGGCGACCGAGAUAAAUAGAAGCAGUUAGCCAUGCCAUCAUGGAAGUUGUAGUAUUUUGUGUACAAAUCCCAAGAGAUGGUGACACAUUCUUGUUAUAAAAGUGCAGUUUAACCAGAAACGUAACCAUCACUUGACUUCAUGGGUUAGGGAGAAUAUGAACAAGAGCAGACAAACACCACUUAGCCAUUAGCCAGACAGAAGUCAAUGACUUACAGGAAAGCCAUGCUAGUUGAAAGACGCAGUGAGACUAAACCGAAGAAGGUAGCUUGUGUUGUACAAAGUUAAAUCUUUGCAAAAACGACAGACAGGCGUUAGCUAGUGCUUCUUCAGAGAGAAAAUGGCAAUCCGAACGGGUUGAGACUAUUUUUUUCAUUUGCAUCAAUAUUGUCCAGUUCGAGGUAAAUAUAGACCUUCACCGUGCAUUGUGGCAUUGACCUCUAUUGCAUUCCUCACUUGUUUUCCAAAAUUCCCACAUUUCAACUAAGACAUGUACAUUUUUGGGGGGGCACAUUUUUGGUGAAUAAUGCAAAGCAGAAAUGCAUUUGACCAAUGCAGGCUAACAGACAAUAGAAAGAAUGUACCCACCAGAGCACUGAGUGACCGCAGGAGAAUGGGUGGUGUUGAGUGGGUUAGGAUGGAGCCUACAGGUGCAGAAUUUCAACCCCUGCACAGUGGAGGCUGGUGGGAGGAGCUAUAGGACAGGCUCAUUUUAAGGUCCGAAUGGCAUGAAUGGAAUGGUUUCAAACAUAUGGAAACCACGUUUGACUCCAUUCCAUUGAGCCAGUCCUGCAAUAGCACCUCCAACCAGCAGUGGCAUAGGUGCAGAUAGCAGGCAUAGCAAAAAAAGGCAUUGCAGUGUACCACUACAUCGUUCCCUUGAGCAGAUGAGGGUACAGGAAGUGAUGAAGGAAGUGUCUGGAAUAGCAGUUAACUGAGCAUAAAAAUUCCACAUACAGUGCAUGUAUGCAGCACCAAAUGCCUUGUAAGAAUAGAAGUGUGAAUGAGUCAUUUCUAAUGUGAAUACAGACAUUAAAAUAAGUGUAUCAGAAUAUACAUGUAAAGACCAUAUUUUUGCAUGUUGUCCACCACCCUUUAUAAAAAGAGGCCACCUCAAAUAAAAUGCCUUCCUGCCAAAUAUCACAAAGGUACACAAACAUACACACACCAAAUGGGAUAAUGGUUUGAUUUGAAACACGUUGGUCUUGACAUAUUUUCACAACUAGGGAGAUUCUGAUUUGUGUGCUGGUCUAAAGUAAAUAAUUUGUCGACUCGUGGGGCAACAAUGCAGAGAAGAAUUAACUUGUGUCAGUGUGGUGGAUUUAUCCCCAGGUCCUUAAUGGUAAAGCUAUAAUACAUUAUAUCAAAAUAUAUUAUAAUGUUUGGUUAAAGGUGUUCGAUAUUUACGCAAUUAUCACAUUUAGAACAUUCUGAAGGCAGAUUGUCUCAUUAUUUUUUCCUUGUGAUGGAAACUUGUUUUGGAAAGACAAUGAUAUUCUGCAGCAGAAAGCCCUACAAGCGUAGCGUACUAGCGCAAGCAAACCAAUUCCAGACAAAUUAAACACGGUAGGGGAUCUUUCCAGUUUCUCAAUACUUUUAUUGUUUGGCUCGAUGAAAUCCCAUUACACAACGACUCACUGCGUUAACCAGUUGAAAAAAAAAAAAAGAGCAACAUCUGAAUGGUUGAGUUCAUCAAGUUAACCUUACGAGGUCUUUCCCUCAAAGUUCCAGUUUUACAGUGAAGAAUAAAACACACGGCAACAGUUUGUUGUGUUACAGUUACAGAGCUUGCACAGGUAGGGUUCUCUGUACUAGCAGAAGCUAUAACAUGGCUGCAUGAGCUGUGCAGCGGGUUAGGCUAAACAAAGCUUUUAUCAUUACGUUGGCGUGUACCAACUCGGUGAUAUCUGGCAGAGAAGCAUAUUAAAAGAGGCUUAAAAAAAGUACAGUAAAUGUAAUAUCUCCCAAAUAAACCCUGAGUAUUAGUCAUUGGUUAGCCGUGGACUGGGCGUACACAUUACAAACAAAAUAAUCAAAUGGCUCAUUUGAGGUGUUUUCCUGAUUGUGUUCGCAUGCGGCGGCGGGCCUCUGAGGCAAGGCAGGUGAGAGCUUAAAGAUUGUUGAUACGCUAGGUCAGUGGAGAUCGUAAACAGAAUGGUGAAAGAUGAGUGGGCAAUGUUUGAGAGGAAGGGAGAAGGGUGAAAAGGUAGUUUGGAGGGAGAAGUGAUUUGCAGCUGUGUAGUUUUAUCCUUCCUGUAAUGAUACAAGGUUGAAACCAUUACAUCCUUAACUGUGCAAGAGAUAGCAUUGAUGACAUCACUGACACUUUCUAAAGGGUCACACUGUGGCGAUCUGCUGUUCUGAUUGGAUAGGGAAUUCAGGAAAAAACUGCCUCAGCAGUGAAAGCUUUUUAGGGCUUUUACCAUCUCCAGGAAUCACAACAACUAUACUGUACACAGCCAGGAGAGACUGAACUACAUAAAGUAAUCAAACCCCACAAAGUCUGGAAGCUUCUAGUGUGAAGGGGGGAAAUAACAAUAUUCUACUCAGUCUUCUCACUUUAACUUAAUCAGUCAUAUCAUUAUUUACACCUCUGCCAUCUAUAUAAACUCUAAUAAAUAAAAUGUGUUCUUUCCAGAGAAAAACCUUUAUAUCUGAGGUGUCAAGCGCUAAAGUGGUUUUUGGAAAAGGUGGGAUCAGUUUUAGGUGGUACUGUAUUAUAUGGUGUGGGUAAAUAGUGCACACCUAACCUUCCUCUAGUUGCUUGUCUAUCAGUGUGUAUGUGUUGGGCUGGUGGUGAAGGACAGUGUACGCGCCUGUUACUCCGCAGUAACAGCAGCCUCGGGAGCUACCUCCUCCUGUGCGGCCGUACCAUUGCUCUCUGGCUCUGCCACAGCAACUGCUUCCUCGGCGAUGGUGGGCACGGCAAUGGCCUCUGCAGCAUCCUCCACGGCCUCGGCCACUAUGACCACUUCCUCUGCUGCCGCCUCUACUUCCUUAGCCACCUCAACGACCUCCUCAGCGACCUCGGCGAUGACUUCAGCAGCCUCAGCGACAGCUCCAGCAAAGGCCCCACCACACAGCAGGGCAUAGAUGAUGUUAUCCCCAGUACCACCGGGGAGCGACGACAUCUGUCGCCGUGGCAGCAC